AACGCAAAUGGCGCUUUCGGGAUAUACCUGGAAGCACGCCUCUCUCAGUAUCGGUUCAACCUCAUCUCAAUGGCGUAUUGUUCAAUCAGUACACAUUGGAAAAUGAGAGUUUCCUUGUUGAUUUAGUUCUGACGAGGAAUCUCUUGAAAGAGUUUGAGCUGAGAUCUCCUAGUCCCUUUGAACAUCUGUUCAAAUAGCUUUUCUCUAAGCUUCUUCGACUAGUGACGUGGAUAACUUCACUGUAUUGUGAAUUGAAACGUUAAUUAGUAGCUGAAGUGUGAGCUAAGUGAAAAAUUAGAAGGUCCUAAGCGUAAGAAUUACAUCUCAUGGCUUCGGUCAUGUGUUCUUUCGAAUUAGAUCUGAGAUGAAGCGGGAAAACCCCCUGAAUUUAA
rnacentral:misc_RNA from 1 species